AUCGCUUCUCGGCCUUUUGGCUAAGAUCAAGUGUGAUGAUCUGAUUAGGAUUUUUUGGGGGGGGAGAGGUCUCAGUAUGUUGCCCUUGGUAGAGUGCUGUGGCGUCACAGCUCACAGCAACCUCAAACUCCUU
rnacentral:snRNA from 1 species